UCGGGGAUCUGGCUCUCGAGAUUCGGAGAACGGUGCCUCUUCGAUUUUUGAGAAAGCAAUCUUGUUGGGAGUCUGGCUCUCAAGAUUAGGAAAGCGGUGCCUCUUCGAUUUUUGAGCAAGUAAUCAUGUUGGGAGUCUGGCUUUCAAGAUUCGGAGAGUGGUGCAUAUUCGAUUUUUGAGAAAGCAAUCCUGUGGGGAGUGUUUUCUCGAAUGUGAGUAAAGGUUGGGCAUUUUCGCCAGUCUGCCUUGCCACGGAGCACGGAGGUUGACACACAUAGGGACUUUCCAGUUAUCAAGCAGUGGUGAUGUUCCUUUACCCUUGUGGGUAAUAGUAGGGUAGUUGGACAUUCAAAAUUUCUGUGUCUAAACUUUGUCAAAGAUCUUUGGCAAAGCUAUCUGUGGUACCCGAGGAGUUGAUGUUGCGUGUGGAGAUUGUCGACAGAUUUUACUUAGGAAAAUCCGUUUCUCGAAAUUCAGAGAGUGGUGCCUCUUCGAUUUUUGAAUCAACGACCCUGUUGCCCUUUCUUUUAUAAAUGUGCAAGAA
rnacentral:lncRNA from 1 species